rnacentral:rRNA from 1 species
CCUCGAUGUUGGACUAGGAAAUUAAUAGACUAGUCGUUUAUUAUAUUGGUUCUGUUCGAACUAUUAUUCCUACAUGAUCUGAGUUCAGUUCAACGGUGAUUCAGCUGCCGAAGUGACCGCAGCGCGUCCAGAGGUUCAAUUGGAACCCUUUGUUUUCUGUUUUCAUCAUCUAGAAUCCGUGAAGUUGUAGCAGUCAUUCGCCUUUUCCACUAUGAAACAAUCGUACAACUUAAACAGCACAUUUUGAAUAGAUCUAUGUAUGCAUCAUCAUUACCUUUUUUGGGAAUAGUCUUGCAAAAAGAAGAAAUAAAUGAAGGCAAGAAAGCAGACCUGCAGAUUGUUAGCAUGUUACUCAUCAUGUUUGCCGUUAGUUGCUACAAAACAAACCACUAGAAUUCCAUUUGUCACCUCGCUCUAGAUCUACGACCUGUUUCUUUUACUACCACUACUGCUACUACUGCUGCUGCUGCUGCUGCUGAUACUACUACUACUACUACUACCACUACUACUACAACUACUUCAACUACCGCUACUACUGCUGCUACUACUACUAUCACUACUACAUAUUAUGCUACCUUGGCACAGUCAAAAUACUGCGGCCGCGGUAUUUUGACUGUGCUAAGGUAGCGUAAUAAGUUGGCUUUUAAAUGAAGUCGGGUAUGAAUGAAAGAACGUAGUUAAGCUGUCUUAAGAUUAUUUUAUUGAAGUUACUGUAUAGAUGAAAAAGUCUAUAAAAAAAUAAAAGACGAGAAGACCCUUAGAAUUUAAGUGAUGUUUGAAGAUUUAUUCAGGAUACUUUUGUUGGGGCGACAUGAAAACAGGAGUUAACUUUUUUAAAAUUAACAUGACGAUUUUUAUAAGGUUGGAUAAAUUACCUGAGGGAUAACAGCAUAAUUUUAUUAAUAAGUUUGUGACCUCGAUGUUGGACUAGGAAAUUAAUAGACUAGUCGUUUAUUAUAUUGGUUCUGUUCGAACUAUUAUUCCUACAUGAUCUGAGUUCAGACCGGCGGGAGCCAGGUCAGAUUCUAUCUUUUAAUUUUAUGUCUCUAGUACGAAAGGACCGGGGUGUUAUAUUAAAAAAUAUAUUAAAAUAAACU